rnacentral:rRNA from 1 species
AGUGGAUGGGGAACAACCUAGUUGUGCGUGUGUAAAGGUAGUGCCAAGAAAAGCGGUGAUCAUGAUGAAAAUCAAUUCCCGGUACCCGAAACCGACACAGGUGGGCAAGUAGAGAAUACUAAGGGGCGCGAGGUAACUCUCUCCAAGGAACUCGGCAAAAUGACCCCGUAACUUAGGGAGAAGGGGUGCCACCGAGAGGUGGUCGCAGUGAAGAGGCCCAGUCGACUGUUUAGCAAAAACAUAGGUCUCUGCAAACUCGAAAGAGGAGGUAUAGGGGCUGACGCCUGCCCAGUGCCGGAAGGUUAAAGAAGUUGGUCAGUCUUAGGAUGAAGCUAGCGACUGAGGCCCCGGUGAACGGCGGCCGUAACUAUAACGGUCCUAAGGUAGCGAAAUUCCUUGUCGGGUAAGUUCCGACCCGCACGAAAGGCGUAACGAUCUGGGCGCUGUCUCGGAGAGAGGCUCGGCGAAAUAGGAUUGUCUGUGAAGAUACGGACUACCUGCAUUUGGACAGAAAGACCCUAUGAAGCUUUACUAUAGCUUGGAAUUGUGUUCGGGCUUCCUGUGCGCAGGAUAGGUGGGAGGCGUAGAAGGUAUUCUUGUGGGGAUACUGGAGCCAACGGUGAGAUACCACUCUCAGGAGGCUAGAAUUCUAACUUAAUUAAGGACAGUUUCAGGUGGGUAGUUUGACUGGGGCGGUCGCCUCCAAAAAGGUAACGGAGGCGUACAAAGGUUCCCUCAGACUGGUUGGAAAUCAGUCGCAGAGUGCAAAGGCAGAAGGGAGCUUGACUGCGAGAAGUACAGUUCGAGCAGGGUGGAAACACGGUCUUAGUGAUCCGACGGCGCUGUGUGGAAGGGCCGUCGCUCAACGGAUAAAAGUUACUCUAGGAUAACAGGCUGAUCUCCCCCAAGAGUUCACAUCGACGGGGAGGUUUGGCACCUCGAUGUCGGCUCAUCGCAACCUGGGGCGGAAGUACGUCCCAAGGGUUGGGCUGUUCGCCCAUUAAAGCGGUACGUGAGCUGGGUUCAGAACGUCGUGAGACAGUUCGGUCCAUAUCCGAUGUAGGCGUGAGAAUAUUGAGAGGAGCCUUCCUUAGUACGAGAGGACCGGGAAGGACGCACCGCUGGUGUACCUGUUAUGAUGCCAAUUGUAAACGCAGGGUAGCCAAGUGCGGAGAGGAUAACCGCUGAAAGCAUCUAAGUGGGAAGCCCACCUCAAGAUGAGUAUUCUGGUGUAAGGUCACGGGAAGACGACCCGUAAAUAGGCACGAGGUGGAAGUGCAGAGAUGUAUGAAGCCGAAGUGUACUAAUAGACCGUCGGCUUGAC